rnacentral:rRNA from 1 species
GACGUAGGGGGCCAGCGUUGUUCGGAAUUACUGGGUGUAAAGGGUUCGUAGGCGGUGUGGCAAGUCGGGAGUGAAAUCUCUGGGCUCAACCCAGAGUCUGCUUCCGAAACUGCUGUGCUUGAGUGUGGGAGAGGCGCGUGGAAUUGCAGGUGUAGCGGUGAAAUGCGUAGAUAUCUGCAGGAACACCCGUGGCGAAAGCGGCGCGCUGGACCACUACUGACGCUGAGACGCGAAAGCGUGGGGAGCGAACAGG